rnacentral:rRNA from 1 species
GACGAACGCUGGCGGCGUGCCUAAUACAUGCAAGUCGAGCGCAGGAAACUGUCGGAACUCUUCGGAGGGAAGGCAGCGGAAUGAGCGGCGGACGGGUGAGUAACACGUAAGGAACCUGCCUCAAGGAUUGGGAUAACUCCGAGAAAUCGGAGCUAAUACCGGAUAGUUCAUCGGACCGCAUGGUCCGUUGAUGAAAGGCGCUUCGGCGUCACCUUGAGAUGGCCUUGCGGUGCAUUAGCUAGUUGGUGGGGUAACGGCCCACCAAGGCGACGAUGCAUAGCCGACCUGAGAGGGUGAUCGGCCACACUGGGACUGAGACACGGCCCAGACUCCUACGGGAGGCAGCAGUAGGGAAUCUUCCACAAUGGACGAAAGUCUGAUGGAGCAACGCCGCGUGAGUGAUGAAGGUUUUCGGAUCGUAAAACUCUGUUGUAAGGGUAGAACACGUACGAGAGGAAAUGCUCGUACCUUGACGGUACCUUACGAGAAAGCCACGGCUAACUACGUGCCAGCCGCCGCCGUAAUUC